CCUACGGGCUGCUGCAGUGGGGAAUAUUGGACAAUGGGCGAAAGCCUGAUCCAGCCAUGCCGCGUGUGUGAAGAAGGCCUUCGGGUUGUAAAGCACUUUCAGUGGGGAAGAAAGCCUUGGGGCUAAUACCCUCGAGGAAGGACAUCACCUACAGAAGAAGCACCGGCUAACUCCGUGCCAGCAGCCGCGGUAAUACGGAGGGUGCGAGCGUUAAUCGGAAUUACUGGGCGUAAAGCGCGCGUAGGCGGUCUGAUAAGCCGGUUGUGAAAGCCCCGGGCUCAACCUGGGAACGGCAUCCGGAACUGUCAGGCUAGAGUGCAGGAGAGGAAGGUAGAAUUCCCGGUGUAGCGGUGAAAUGCGUAGAGAUCGGGAGGAAUACCAGUGGCGAAGGCGGCCUUCUGGACUGACACUGACGCUGAGGUGCGAAAGCGUGGGUAGCAAACAGGAUUAGAUACCCUUGUAGUC
rnacentral:rRNA from 1 species